CGAAGGUGGCGGAAUUGGUAGACGCGCUAGCUUCAGGUGUUAGUGUCCUUACGGACGUGGGGGUUCAAGUCCCCCCCUCGUCGACCA
rnacentral:tRNA from 1 species